AUCUUUGCAUCUCACUGCAUUUCAUUUCAUCUUGCUCAUGUUUUAUUGUGUUGCACAAUAUAUGGUUUAGCUUAUGUAACUCUUAAACUCGUUCGCAUCUUUAAAACGCGUUUCUAAUUCCGUUUAUCUCUAUUGUUAUUGCCCUUAUUCUUCAUUCUUUGUGAAUGAUUCUUUACUUUGAAGCUUCAUUCUAUGUGAUUGAUAGCCUGUUAUCCAUUUCUUGCCAU
rnacentral:lncRNA from 1 species